rnacentral:rRNA from 1 species
AGGCCUGCGGGUUGUAAAGCACUUYYWGURGAGAAGAAAAGCCUAGGGUUAAUACCCCUGAGUCYYSACGUAACCUACAGAAGAAGCACCGGCUAACUCCGUGCCAGCAGCUGCGGUAAUACGGAGGGUGCAAGCAUUAAUCGGAUUUAUUGGGCGUAAAGGGGGCGCAGGCGGAAAUGUAAGCCAGACGUGAAAUCCCGGGGCUCAACCCCGGAACUGCWUUUGGAACUACAUUUCUAGAGGAUAGGCGGAGAAAACGGAAUUCCACAUGUAGCGGUGAAAUGCGUAGAUAUGUGGAAGAACACCGGUGGCGAAGGCGGUUUUCUAGCUUAUACCUGACGCUGAGGCCCGAAAGCUAGGGGAGCGAACAGGAUUAGAUACCCUGGUAGUCCUAGCCGUAAACGAUGUAUACUUGGUGUAGCCGGACUCAACCCUGGCUGUGCCGUAGCUAACGUGUUAAGUAUACCGCCUGGGGAGUACGCUCGCAAGGGUGAAACUCAAAAGAAUUGACGGGGACCCGCACAAGCAGUGGAGCAUGUGGUUUAAUUCGAUGCAACGCGAAGAACCUUACCUAGGCUUGACAUACAGUGGACCGCUUCAGAGAUGAAGUUUUCCUUCGGGACCGCUGUACAGGUGCUGCAUGGCUGUCGUCAGCUCGUGCCGUGAGGUGUUGGGUUAAGUCCCGCAACGAGCGCAACCCUUAUCGUUAGUUGCCAGCAU